UCUCAGUGAUCCACUAGUAUCAGAUAUAUAUAAGAGUCUUAGAGCACCUUUAACGCAGUGUCUUAAGUCGCGUCUCUAGGGUAUUUAGGUUUAAAAAAAAAGGGUAAUUAUACAAGAGACGCCUCUUAAUUAGGAGGCAGAAGAGACGGGUUUUAUGUGACAUGCGUCACACAUCCAUGUUUCUUUCUCUCUCUUUUGCCGGAUCGUCUUCUCUCAUUCUCUCUGACUCCUCGACGACACCGAAUCUCUCUGGUGAUAUCUCCUCGACGGUGCUCUCUCCUCGACAGAAUCUCUCGUCGAUAGAAUCAGCCGGCUUCUCUCUCGGUGGUAUCGUCGUCUCUAUCGGUUUGAUCUCUGUUUCUGGUUGUAGAUAUUUUUUUUUUGUGUCUUGUUCUUCAUACUGAUUUGUUUUUAAGGUAUCCAGAUUUACUUCUCUCUCUCUGUAUAAACUCCAUAGCUCGUCGUAUUGGGAGUAGAAGUAAUCAAUCGUUAGAACAUGGCAGGAUAUGAUUCUGUUAAAGCUAAGUUUAUUGAGGAGAGUCCUGAUACGCUGAUUAUGACAAGCCCUUCUUUCUUCUCUCAGUUCACUCUUGUUAUAGCCACUCAGGAGCACACUAUAAUUGACUCAAAGCCUGAUCAUUUUCUUGAUGACCUUCGCUUGAAUAAUCACGGCGUGUCACAGACUUGUCACCGAGGAAGAAGCAUUGUAGACUACUCUUUUGUAAUUUUGUGUUGUCUAGUCUAGUAUUUUGUAAUUUUGUGUUCUCAUGUGUGUUCACGGACUUGUCUUUUGUAAUCCAUGAUUUUGACAGACUUUUGCAUGCUUGUGUAGUCUAGUAGUUGGUGUUGUCGAGCCUAGUUUGUAUUCUCCUUCAUGUUCUCCUUUUGUAUGCUUGUGUAAUCUUGUUUAAAAAGUUUGUAUUCUCAUUCAUGUUCUUUAUAAAACAACUUCUUUCUCUCA